GUCAGGUACUCAAAUCAAGAAGGAGAUGGACGAGGUGCUUUGCUUGGGACUGCUAGCUCCUCCAGAGAUCAGAUGCUGUCUUAUCACGAUGACAAGAUGUACUGUCCAUGCUAAUGUUUUUCAUCGUGAUUUGAAGCCAAGAAUAAAUUUGGAUUAUGUUGCUACUAGAUGGUAUAUAUAGGGCUUAUAUUUCCAUGGUCCAAAGAUCGUUCCUCAAGAUCGCGUGGUACUAAAAGUUGAUAUACAUGUCAAAAGGUGGCACCAGGACUGCUACAGUUCAUUCCACACCAAUUCCUCCAAAAGACCAGAAGCGUUCUAAAGUUCCCUUAAUGAUGAACAAAGGUAGUAGUUGAUAUACGUGUGCAGGUAAAUAAGAAGAGAAGAGAAGCAGAAAGGAAUUUGGGAUGAUUUCUUCAAAUUCGACAUUUGAAUCUUUUAGUAUUUCAAGUGGUAGUGUACUUUCAGAAGUUCAAGGAGAAACACUAACAUUGCGCAGUACAGUUCACUCAGUUACUAGCUAAAGUCAUCAACAAUCAGCAUGUGAUGUUAAAGUUUUUGCCAUCAAACUACACCCCCACAUGUUGUUCUAAGAUAUAUAGCAUUUGGGUCUACAAAAUACAAAAGAAGCUUAACUGACACAUUUUUUUUAAUCUGCUUAGGAGAGCCUGGACUGAGAUGGAAGUUGUUGUCUCGUUGAGAACCAAUCGUAGGACCAAUUUCUCUUACCAUUCUGUAAACUACCAAUGAGGUUGUAGGUCUCGAUAUCUUAUCUUGGAUAAGAUGUCUGGAUCUUUGUACUCUUGCUGUGCUGACAAUCUCCAGCGGUCCAACUCAAUGAAUUAGCACGAUAAAACUUUGACUACCAGACUUUUUGUAACUGAUCCAAGAUUGAUGAUGGGAUAUUACUUGUAUAAUUUUCCUUGAUGUUUACUGGGUUGAUGAAUUAUGUUAUUGCAACUUUUUCUGAACCAUGUCCACUAUUCAAUUCUUAACACUCAGCUUCUUAGGGUAUCACUGUAGUCUUGAACCAUGACAUUUUAUAUUUAUCGCAUCUGUUUUGACUAGCUUACAGAGAGUGGUAUUUAGCCAUAGGACUGUAAACAGGUAGUUGUUUCAUUCGUUGUAGACUUAAGAGCAAUCAAAUGUUGUUUCUUUUGGAAAUUUGAAAUAAAUGAAAAUAAAUAUUCUUUGGAAUGGAUGGUUCAGUUCAACAAUUAUUUUCAUUAGGUUCCUGUGAAAGCUACUACAUACUAAAGUAUCAUCAAUCUAUGACAGGUUCAGCUGCACACUUUUACUGACUGUUGUGCUUUGGUGUUUUCAUUGAACCAGAUUGCAGUUACAUAAAUCAAGCUUGUUGCUGGAAAGCCAACUGGUAAAGUCUCCCGAAGUUUCAAUCUCAAGCCCAUCUAGAAUUUUGCGUCGAGAUCCUGGUGUACAAGUUGGGCUAGGAGGUUCAAGUUUGAAAACCAACACCAAUG